UUUCCGUAGGUGAACCUGCGGAAGGAUCAUUAUUGGAUUUUGAAACGUCAGGCUGCUGCUGGCUCUCCUCGGAGGGCAUGUGCACGCUUGUUGUCCAUUAUUUCUCCCACUGUGCACAAAUUGUAGACCUUUCAGUAGGCCUAUGUUGUUUUUCACAAUCUCUGAAUGUAAUAGAAUGGUUUUGAAUCUUGGGAAAUACAAUACAACUUUCAGCAACGGAUCUCUUGGCUCUC
rnacentral:misc_RNA from 1 species